CCUACGGGCGGCUGCAGUGGGGAAUAUUGCACAAUGGGCGGAACUCUGAUCCAGCGACGCCGCGUGAGUGAAGAAGUAUUUCGGUAUGUAAAGCUCUAUCAGCAGGGAAGAAGAUGACGGUACCUGACUAAGAAGCCCCGGCUAACUACGUGCCAGCAGCCGCGGUAAUACGUAGGGGGCAAGCGUUAUCCGGAUUUACUGGGUGUAAAGGGAGCGUAGACGGCAGGGCAAGUCUGGAGUGAAAGCCCGGGGCCCAACCCCGGGACUGCUUUGGAAACUGGCAUGCUGGAGUGCAGGAGAGGUAAGCGGAAUUCGUGGUGUAGCGGUGAAAUGCGUAGAUAUUAGGAAGAACACCAGUGGCGAAGGCGGCUUACUGGACAGUAACUGACGUUGAGGCUCGAAAGCGUGGGGAGCAAACAGGAUUAGAUACCCUUGUAGUC
rnacentral:rRNA from 1 species